UCAGGCCUAACACAUGCAAGUCGAACGAUGAAGCUGGAGCUUGCUCCGGUGGAUUAGUGGCGAACGGGUGAGUAGCACGUGAGCAAUCUGCCCUUGACUCUGGGAUAACUGCGGGAAACUGUAGCUAAUACCGGAUACGAGAUUUGGAGGCAUCUCCGGAUCUGGAAAGAAUUUCGGUCAAGGAUGAGCUCGCGGCCUAUCAGCUUGUUGGUGAGGUAAUGGCUCACCAAGGCGACGACGGGUAGCCGGCCUGAGAGGGUGACCGGCCACACUGGGACUGAGACACGGCCCAGACUCCUACGGGAGGCAGCAGUGGGGAAUAUU
rnacentral:rRNA from 1 species